rnacentral:rRNA from 1 species
GCAAGUCUGGUGCCAGCAGCCGCGGUAAUUCCAGCUCCAAAUAGCGUAUAUUAAAGUUGUUGCAGUUAAAAAGCUCGUAGUUGAACCUUGGGCCUGGCUGGCCGGUCCGCCUCACCGCGUGUACUGGUCCGGCCGGGCCUUUCCUUCUGGGGAACCUCAUGCCCUUCACUGGGCGUGUUGGGGAACCAGGACUUUUACUUUGAAAAAAUUAGAGUGUUCAAAGCAGGCCUUUGCUCGAAUACAUUAGCAUGGAAUAAUAGAAUAGGACGUGUGGUUCUAUUUUGUUGGUUUCUAGGACCGCCGUAAUGAUUAAUAGGGAUAGUCGGGGGCAUCAGUAUUCAAUCGUCAGAGGUGAAAUUCUUGGAUUGAUUGAAGACUAACUACUGCGAAAGCAUUUGCCAAGGAUGUUUUCAUUAAUCAGUGAACGAAAGUUAGGGGAUCGAAGACGAUCAGAUACCGUCGUAGUCUUAACCAUAAACUAUGCCGACUAGGGAUCGGACGGUGUUAGUAUUUUGACCCGUUCGGCACCUUACGAGAAAUCAAAGUUUUUGGGUUCUGGGGGGAGUAUGGUCGCAAGGCUGAAACUUAAAGGAAUUGACGGAAGA